AAUCUUGGACAGUGGGGGCAACCCUGAUCCAGCCAUGCCGCGUGGGUGAAGAAGGCCUUAGGGUUGUAAAGCCCUUUCAGUCGUGACGAUGAUGACGGUAGCGACAGAAGAAGCCCCGGCUAACUCCGUGCCAGCAGCCGCGGUAAUACGGAGGGGGCAAGCGUUGUUCGGAUUUACUGGGCGUAAAGGGCGCGUAGGCGGACGAUCAAGUCAGAGGUGAAAGGCCCGGGCUCAACCUGGGACGUGCCUUUGAAACUGAUUGUCUUGAGUGCGGGAGAGGGUGACGGAAUUCCCAGUGUAGAGGUGAAAUUCGUAGAUAUUGGGAAGAACACCGGUGGCGAAGGCGGUCACCUGGCCCGCAACUGACGCUGAGGCGCGAAAGCGUGGGGAGCAAACAGGAUUAGAUACCCUGGUAGUCCACGCCGUA
rnacentral:rRNA from 1 species